AUAAGUGAAAGCAGAAAAGGGCGUAUGGUGGAUGCCUAGGCAUAACCAGGCGAAGAAGGACGUGUAAAGCUGCGAAAAGCUGCGGGGAGCUGCACAAGAGCUCAGAUCCGCAGGUAUCCGAAUGGGGAAACCCAUCUGCUUUCGGGCAGAUAUCCGUUUAGGAAGCCAACGGGGGGAACUGAAACAUCUAAGUACCCCUAGGAAGAGAAAACAAUUCAGUGAUUCCGCAAGUAGUGGCGAGCGAACGCGGAACAGCCCAAACCCUGCUGCUACGGCGGCAGGGGGUUGUAGGGCCCACAUCAGCCAAUCCAAGCGAAGACGAAGCGGACUGGAAAGCCGCCCCACAGAAGGUGACAGGCCUGUAGACGUAAGCAAGGUGCGGUGGUGGGAUCCCCUGAGUAGGACGGGACCGGAGAAAUCCUGUCUGAACCAGCCGGCACCAUCCGGCAAGGCUAAAUACUGGUUAUGACCGAUAGUGAACAAGUACCGUGAGGGAAAGGUGAAAAGAACGCCGAGAAGGCGAGUGAAAUAGUACCUGAAACCAUACGCUUACAAGCGGUCGGAGUCCCGAUUUAUCGGGAUGACGGCGUGCCUUUUGCAUAAUGAGCCUACAAGUUGCACCUGUCGUGCAAGGUUAAUCUCCUCAGGAGAGCAGCCGAAGCGAAAGCGAGUCCGAAUAGGGCGAAAGUACGGCGGGGCAGACGCGAAACCGAGUGAGCUAUCUAUGGCCAGGAUGAAGCGUGGGUAAGACCACGUGGAGGUCCGAACCGACGGGCGUUGAAAAGCCCCCGGAUGAGCUGUGGAUAGGGGUGAAAGGCCAAUCAAACUCGGAAAUAGCUCGUUCUCCUCGAAAUAUAUUUAGGUAUAGCAUCUGGCGUGUAGCAUGUCGGAGGUAGAGCACUGAUUAGACUAGGGGGCUUCACCGCCUACCAAAUCUAGACAAACUCCGAAUGCCGACGUGUGUUGCCAGGUAGUCAGCGUGGGGGCGAUAACGUCCUCCCGCAAGAGGGAAACAACCCAGACCACCAGCUAAGGCCCCUAAAUCCAAACUAAGUUGAACAAAGAAAGUUGGGUUGCCCAGACAACUAGGAGGUUGGCUUAGAAGCAGCCAUUCCUUGAAAGAGUGCGUAAUAGCUCACUAGUCGAGCGGCCCGGCGUCGAUAAUUCGCGGGCAUAAGUUUGGUGCCGAAGCUGUGGAUUGUCCCGAUUACUCGGGACAGUGGUAGAGGAGCAUUCCAGCGCCAUCGAAGUUGCCCUGUGAGGGGUGGUGGAGGUUCUGGAAGCGAAACUGUAGGCAUGAGUAACGAUAAGAGGGGUGAGAACCCCCUCCACCGAAAAUCUAAGGGUUCCUGAUCAACGCAAAUCGGAUCAGGGUUAGUCGAGACCUAAGGCGUAGCCGACAGGCGAAGCCGAUGGAAAACCGGUUAAAUAUUCCGGUACCGCUAUCUAGCUAUAGAUGAAGGCGUCACGCAGAAGUGACACCACCGCCUCGCGAUGGAAUGCGAGGUUAAAGGCAGUAGGCCGGUGGGUAGGCAAAUCCGCCCACCACCAAGGCCGAAAGCCGACAGUACGGGGAGCCUACGGGCAAACCGAUAGCGUGGGUAAUCUUGCUGCCAAGAAACCCGUCGUCAUCUGCUAGCAUAGCGCUCGUACCAAAACCGACACAGGUAGAUGAGGAGAGGAUCCUCAGGUGCUCGAGCGAAUCGUGGCUAAGGAACUCGGCAAAUUAGAUCCGUAACUUCGGGAGAAGGAUCCCCCCGGCCGGCUUCGGCUGGUUGGGGGCGCAGUGACCAGGUCCAAUCGACUGUUUACCAAAAACACAUGCCUCUGCUAAGUCGUAAGACGAUGUAUAGGGGCUGACACCUGCCCGGUGCUGGAAGGUUAAGGAAGGCUGUUAAUCGCUUCGGCGAUGAAGCGGCCCACUGAAGCCCCAGUAAACGGCGGCCGUAACUAUAACGGUCCUAAGGUAGCGAAAUUCCUUGUCGGGUAAGUUCCGACCUGCACGAAUGGUGCAACGAAUUGGACACUGUCUCAGCCACGAGCUCGGUGAAAUUGUGGUAUCGGUGAUGACGCCGAUUACCCGCAGCGGGACGGAAAGACCCCGUGAACCUUUACUACAACUUUACAUUGGCUUUAGCUGCCCGAUGUGCAGGAUAGGUGGGAGACUUCGAAGCGCCAGCGCCAGCUGGCGUGGAGUCGUCCGUGAAAUACCACCCUUUGGGCCGCUGAAUUCUAAUUCCCCACAGGGAAGACAGUGUAUGGUGGGUAGUUUGACUGGGGCGGUCGCCUCCUAAACAGUAACGGAGGCUCCCAAAGGUACCCUCAGCACGGUCGGCAAUCGUGCGUAGAGUGUAAAAGCAUAAGGGUGCUUGACUGCAAGACAUACAGGUCGAGCAGCUGCGAAAGCAGGGUUUAGUGAUCCGGCGGUUUUCCGAAUGGAAGGGCCGUCGCUCAAAGGAUAAAAGGUACUCCGGGGAUAACAGGCUUAUCUCCCCCAAGAGUUCACAUCGACGGGGAGGUUUGGCACCUCGAUGUCGGCUCAUCGCAUCCUGGGGCUGGAGAAGGUCCCAAGGGUAUGGCUGUUCGCCAUUUAAAGCGGUACGCGAGCUGGGUUCAGAACGUCGUGAGACAGUUCGGUCCCUAUCUGCUGUGGGCGUUGGAAUGUUGCGGAGAGCUGCUCCUAGUACGAGAGGACCGGAGUGGACGCACCGCUGGUGCACCUGUUGUCCGGCCACGGGCAUCGCAGGGUAGCUAUGUGCGGAAGUGAUAAGCCGCUGAAAGCAUCUAAGCGCGAAGCACGCUCCAAGAUAAACAUUCCCUUUACAGCCUUCUGGAAGACGACCAGAUCGAUAGGCGGCAGGUGUAAGCGUGGUAACACGUUCAGCCGAGCCGUACUAAUAAGGCUACCGGCUU
rnacentral:rRNA from 1 species